UAACCUCCGCAGGCUGGCUGGCCCUCAGGCUGAGCUGGGUGAGUAUCUUUUCUGUUUUGGGAGGACGGGGAAGAGGGGGGACCCAAUAUCUUUUUGAGAGGCUCGCCCUCAAGCACAACUAAGAGC
rnacentral:pre_miRNA from 1 species